CAGCAAGGAAAGAUUUCACAUAAUUCUUUAAGAUAACAUGAAAACCACAUCAAUUCUGGACUGUAAUAUUCUUAUUCUAUCCAAAGGUAAUUUAUUUUCUGUCCAUAAGAAGAGCUGCUAUUUCCUUUUGUGCAUUCUCAGAAGUGUGUCUGUUGUUUCCUGUUCAGCAGAAACUCUGAGUGAAAGUAAAUAUAUGAGCUUCUUCUACCUCUGUAAAGUAACUAUGCAGAGUGCCUGACCUACAGUUCAGAAGCCUGAGAAAAAAAUGUUCUUUGUUUUAUAUAUGGAGUUUGGGUUGGGGUUUUUGUUUUUUUUUUUUUUUUUUAGUUUGUUUGUUUUUUUGUUUUGUUUUUUUGGUUGUCAUUUUUUCUGAACAGUGUCUAUGCUGAGAGCUAUGGAAAUAAUCAACAAACUGAAGAGACAAGCAACAAUAGCCACCACAGGGAAGUUCAGAAAAAUCUGACUGAUGAAAACAUUUAAGAAAUAGCCUGGAGAAAAUACAAGGAAGAUGAUUCAGGAACACUACAAGCAACUACUGCCAGGACAGAACUCCUGAUUUUUAAUUCCUGCUCAGGCCUGGAUUGGGACUGCUGAACUCCAUUGUGCCUCUGGGAAAUCGACACAAUCCUUGCACCUAUCAUUGAGCAGUUGUGGUGACCAGGUACUGCCCAGGAAGUUCUCUGAGUGCAGAAGUGCUGUAUGGGAAGAAAGGAAAUGUUACACAUCUCAAAACUCUCCACUCACAGAAGAGGCUGAAUGUAUCCUCUUGAACGUGUGGGAUGCAUGUGAAAAAAGCAUCAAGAUUACUCAGCUCCUUGGAAAUUAUCACUGCAACUCUUUUCUCUGCCUCUCUUUUUCUUUACCCUGUCUACCAGAAUGUCAGCAAAUGUCUUCAAAAUGGCCAGCGUGAGGAUUCCACCAAGAUUUAUCAACAAAUGAGCCAGAAAAACCCCACGAUAUGGAAACAGAAAAAGGUAAGGAAGGAGAAGGGGAGAAUACCAUGUACUCAUUUCAGCCAGGGGUUUGUGCUGCCCUUGCCACAGACAGAUUUUAGAGCAGGCCAGGCUGGUUAAUGUGGCUUUAGAUCCUCAGCAGGCACUUACACAAUGGCACAUGGAAUUUAUUUCAUGUGAUACCAUUACAGGAAUGCUGUGAAGAGGGAGAGCAGAGAAAAAGGCUGGUGCUGGUGCCUGUGCUGUGGUUUGGAGAGAAAUACCCUAGAAAUAAGAGAGGAAGGGGACCUCCACCUUCUAUUGAAACAUCCAAAUAAGCCAGACUCCCAAUUCCUCUGGAGGGAAGGGCAGAACAAGUGGUGGGAGAAGAGGAAA
rnacentral:lncRNA from 1 species